AUGCCUACAAAAAAUCAAUUGAUUCGUCAUGGUAGAGAAGAAAAACGGCGCACGGACCGUACUCGAGCUUCGGAUCAAUGUCCCCAGAAGCAAGGAGUAUGCCUGUGUGUUUCGACGAGAACACCGAAAAAACCUAAUUCAGCUCUACGUAAGAUAGCAAAAGUACGGUUGAGCAAUCGACAUGAUAUAUUUGCUCACAUUCCAGGCGAAGGUCAUAAUUCGCAGGAACAUUCUAUAGUCUUAGUCAGAGGAGGUAGAGUGAAAGAUUCGCCAGGUGUGAAAUCCCAUCAUAUUCGAGGAGUCAAGGAUUUGCUGGGAAUUCCGGAUCGUAGAAAGGGAAGAUCUAAAUAUGGUGCAGAAAGACCUAAAUCGAAAUGA
rnacentral:rRNA from 1 species